rnacentral:lncRNA from 1 species
AGUACAUCUGUUCACUCGGUUUAAUUCAUAACCUGUCAUUUCUUCCUUUUGCCUGCAGUGUUGGUACUAAGAUCCGUAUAACUUUGGAAGCAAUAGAAGGAAAUAGAGCAUCUGAACGAAUAUCAAGUAUACAAUUAACCUUGAAAAUCAAGCCUUAGAAGUAAAAUUUGAAAGACACCUGAUCACAUGUGUUCCUUGGCGAACAUGUUUCAACCUCUGACAUAUUGCAAGAAGAGGGAAAGAUACUAUCCAGAGAUGAUAUUCAAAAUACUCCGCAACAGAAUGGAUAUUGACCUCUGCGUGGAGCACAGUCCUCAAGGUAAUUCUUACGUUGCUGGACUCAGAGGUCCAGGUGACAGGAG